ACCAAAAGCUUAGGUUAACCAAACCGGGGGCCUUCAAAGCCCCAAACAAGGGCCAUUCCCCCUUAGCUUUUGAAGGCCUGUAAAACUUUAAUCUACAU
rnacentral:tRNA from 1 species